rnacentral:rRNA from 1 species
CAGUAGCCGCGGUAAUACGGAGGGUGCAAGCGUUAAUCGGAAUUACUGGGCGUAAAGCGCACGCAGGCGGUUUGUUAAGUCAGAUGUGAAAUCCCCGAGCUUAACUUGGGAACUGCAUUUGAAACUGGCAAGCUAGAGUCUUGUAGAGGGGGGUAGAAUUCCAGGUGUAGCGGUGAAAUGCGUAGAGAUCUGGAGGAAUACCGGUGGCGAAGGCGGCCCCCUGGACAAAGACUGACGCUCAGGUGCGAAAGCGUGGGGAGCAAACAGGAUUAGAGACCCCAGUAGUCCCUGUCUCUUAUAC